AUGAACGCUGGCGGCGUGCCUAAUACAUGCAAGUCGCGCGAACGGACGAGAAGCUUGCUUCUCUGAUGUUAGCGGCGGACGGGUGAGUAACAUGUGGAUAACCUACCUAUAAGACUGGGAUAACUUCGGGAAACCGGAGCUAAUACCGGAUGAUAUUUUGAACCGCAUGGUUCAAAAGUGAAAGACGGUCUUGCUGUCACUUAUAGAUGGAUCCGCGCUGCAUUAGCUAGUUGGUAAGGUAACGGCUUACCAAGGCAACGAUGCAUAGCCGACCUGAGAGGGUGAUCGGCCACACUGGAACUGAGACACGGUCCAGACUCCUACGGGAGGCAGCAGUAGGGAAUCUUCCGCAAUGGGCGAAAGCCUGACGGAGCAACGCCGCGUGAGUGAUGAAGGUCUUCGGAUCGUAAAACUCUGUUAUUAGGGAAGAACAUAUGUGUAAGUAACUGUGCACAUCUUGACGGUACCUAAUCAGAAAGCCACGGCUAACUACGUG
rnacentral:rRNA from 1 species